rnacentral:rRNA from 1 species
AACGAACGCUGGCGGCAGGCCUAACACAUGCAAGUCGAACGCCCCGCAAGGGGAGUGGCAGACGGGUGAGUAACACGUGGGAACGUGCCCUAAGGUUCGGAAUAUUCCCGGGAAACUGGGAGCAAUACCGAAUGUGUCCGCAAGGAGAAAGAUUUAUCGCCUUAGGAUCGGCCCGCGUCGGAUUAGCUAGUUGGUGGGGUAAAAGCCUACCAAGGCGACGAUCCGUAGCUGGUUUGAGAGAACGACCAGCCACACUGGGACUGAGACACGGCCCAGACUCCUACGGGAGGCAGCAGUGGGGAAUCUUGGACAAUGGGCGCAAGCCUGAUCCAGCCAUGCCGCGUGGAUGAUAAAGGCCCUAGGGUUGUAAAAUCCUUUCGUUGGGGACGAUAAUGACGGUACCCAAAGAAGAAGCUCCGGCUAACUUCGUGCCAGCAGCCGCGGUAAUAC